rnacentral:tRNA from 1 species
GCCGAAGUGGUGGAACUGGUAGACACGCCAUCUUGAGGGGGUGGUGAGGAAACUCGUGCCGGUUCAAGUCCGGCCUUCGGCACCA